UAGGGAAUCUUCCACAAUGGGCGCAAGCCUGAUGGAGCAACACCGCGUGAGUGAAGAAGGGUUUCGCUCGUAAAGCUCUGUUGUUAAAGAAGAACACGUAUGAGAGUAACUGUUCAUACGUUGACGGUAUUAACCAGAAGUCACGGCUAACUACGUGCCAC
rnacentral:rRNA from 1 species